AAGCUGAAAAUGUCGCUAAUGUUCAAUUUUGAUUAUAUUCUAUCACCUUCAAUUUCGAUAGUGAAGGUUUGAAGCCUUGAUUCAAAGGUAAGAAGAGAUAGUUUUCAAGUUUAUUGGCUGAAUUAAGAAAUUUGGGUGCCGUGCAGUUAACUUGUUUCUUUUUUAGCAUUUAUCAGUCGUUAAUUAUUGUCUAUGUUCUCAGUUUAGCAAUUUUAUUGUGUUUGGCAUAAAUUAGUGUGACCCAUUAUCUAUCAUCUCUGUUUGUACUGUGUUUUUCAUUUUAUUCGCUAACCGUUUAUAAACUUGAAUUUAUGAUCUAUAAUAGUCACUUUGUGAAUUUGAAACAUUGGUAAUUGAAUAUAAAUUGAUACAAUUUAUAUUAAGAUUUCUUACACUUGAGUUUUGAAUGUAUCAAAUUUCUAAAUUAAUUGAUAGUUUGAGAUGGAGGGAGUACUUAUUUGGCUUGAGUAAUCAAAUGAUAUGCCCAUUGUUUCAAAAGCUACAUACAUGUGGGGUUUGAUUUUGGAAAAGAAAAGGCAUUGAUUUGGAUGUUUCGUUCUGGUGUUGCUUUCGGUUAAUUAGCUGUGCAGGAUAGGGACCAUAAAUUUCUAAGAAAAGCAGUUGAAGAAGCAUACAAAGGAGUAGAUUCUAGACAUGGAGGUCCUGUUGGUGCUGUUAUAGUUUGCAAUGAUGAAGUAGUAGCUAGUUGUCACAACAUGGUUCUUAGUCAUACGGACCCAACUGCACAUGCAGAAGUUACAGCAAUAAGGGAGCUCAAAUGAACAUUCAUGGAAGAAAUCCAGAGAUAUGCUUGAGCAGGUUGCAAGACAAGGAGAACUCACUGGCUAUAGAAUUCCAUGCCUCCUCAUUGCUGCCAAGGAUGAGUUAACCCCAUAUCCAAGGACAGUUCAAGAUUCAGUUAAGGUGACUCAGGAAUUAGGAAUAGAGGCAUUUUGGAAAACUUCCUUAUUCUGUGCUCAUUUUGGAAACUGCCUUAUUCAGUUUAUUUGGGGGUGAAGAAUGGUAUAGUACUUUAUUGUAUGUGAAGAAAGGUUUUACUCUUUCUUACCAAGCAACUACUGGUUAUAUUUACUCCGUCUCCUUGUUCUCUGCUAAGCUUGGAAAUUUACUAAUGCUAUUAUUUUUUCUGCCUUCCUUUUUCUUUCUUUAUCUUUUACUGUGGUGGCAAUAUUUGAUUCAAAUGUUGUCUGAUUUAGCCAGUGAUGAUAAUACAGCUUCAUAAAAUGCCAGCUCUUAGAAACCGCUGCUGACGUUGAAGAAAGACGCAGCUUCAAGGAUGCCAAAGUGCUUGUGGGCUCAAAGAAAGAGAGACUAGAUAUCAAGGCUGCCCUAUCCAAUUCAUUUGGUUUUGGGGACCACAAUUCUUCAAUCAUAUUUGCUCCGUAUAAGUGGAUGAAUACAUGUUUCAGAAUAAUACCUUCCCUACCAUUAUACAGAAGUUACUAAGGUAGCCAGGCAAUUGUUACACGCAUGAUCAAAGUCAUGAAUUGGAUGAAAAUAUAAGUGGAAAUGAUUGGAGCAGUAACUCUUGAGGACAUUGUUGAGAGAUGGUUUCAUGGUUUAGAUUGUCUGGCCGAGAUACAUGGUGGAGCCGGUUCUAUCCACCGAUGAAGAACAUGAAUGGCUGCUAUUGCCUUUAUAGAGUAGGACUUGACCCACUUUGAUGUGACUCUUAAAUAAACCCACUUGGUGGUAUAUAUAAGCUCUUCUGUUUUAUUUAUCCCCUAUGUACCCAAAUAGUUUGUGCAAAAACAAAUUGCAAUUUAUUUUUUCGCUGCCUUGUUCUAUUGCCCUAAAACCAGACCAUUUAGGGAGAAGGGAUGAUUUUAAUCUCUCAGGAAAUGCCUCUUUAUUAUUAAUUAUUGUUUAUAUUGUCGUUCAGACAAGCAGGGGGAGUAUUGGAAAAUAAUACUCUUAUUCGUUUUUCUUGUGCUCUAAAUAUCAAAGACAAAUAACAUUUUCUUGAAAGUA